GAGAUUUUAAUUUUCCCUCUGAAAUUUCACAAGCCAGUCCUCCAUCUUAUGCACUGUUCUCAACAUUAUCUUCUAAGCUCCUACACAACAUCUAACAGAGCUCUUAACACCGAAUGGACUUUCUAGCCCAAAGUUCCAAAGUCCUUCCACAGUCCUCCCCAAAACAUGGCCAGGUUGUCACAGGAAUAACCCACUCUGCUGGUACCAAUUUGUCUUAGUCAGGGUUUCUAUUCCUGCACAAACAUCAUGACCAAGAAGCAAGUUAGGGAGGAAAGGGUUUAUUCGGCUUACACUUCCAUACUGCUGUUCAUCACCAAAGUAGGUCAGAAAGCAGAAGCUGAUGCAGAAGCCAUGGAGGGAUGUUCUUUACUGGUUUGCUCAGCCUGCUCUCUUAUAGGACCAAGACUACCAGCCCAAAGAUGGUCCCACCCACAAGGGGCCUUUCCCCUUGAUCACUAAUUGAGAAAAUGCCUUACAGUUGUAUCUCAUGGAGGCAUUUCCUCAACUGAAGCUCCUUUCUCUGUGAUAACUUCAGCUGUGUCAAGUUGACACAAAACUAGCCAGUACAGUUAAUAAAAGUCAGGUGGAGGAAAGCAGUUGCACACAAUCUCAUUUAUAUGUAGAGUUUGAACUUGAUAUGGUAGAAGCUGAGAGUAUGGUGUUUCAUAGAAGCCAGAAACCAAGUAGUGUUGUGCCUCAAGAGUGGUUCCCUUAUAAGUGGUAGUUUUGUUUUGUUUUGUUUUGUUUUUUUGGAAGAUUAUAGGAUCUCUAGGGGGUAACAUGUGGCUUAAGGAUCACUAGAAGGUGAUCGCUGGCUGAGGUUGUCAACUCAUCCUCAAUAUCGAUUUUCUGCCUAACCCUAUAACAUCUGUGCUAUUAUUGCAUCUAUUGGCAUAACUUGCUAAUUUGAUUAUUAUUCCAGCUCAGAAGGUUCAUUGUUGGGUAAUGCUAUUUAUGAUUCCCCCUUCCCAGAGCAACCCCAUAACACCUUCCAGUAUUAUGAGAACUAGUCAACAGGGAGGAAGCUCCUGGAUUAGUACCAACUUGAUAUCUCUGUGUCCUGUGACCAAGGAUUUGUGUUCCAGUCCAGCAGGCCUGUUUCCGUAUGCUCACAGGUGCCUCCUCCAUCUUGCCUUGCAGGGGAUUAGUAGUGAAGGUUGAUGGUGUCCCCUGGCUUGGGGCAUUGCUCUGGAAGUCUGGUGGUGCAAAUUUCAACAAGAAGACUUUUUAUAUAAAGCAUAAAGAUGAAUGAGCCAGAACAGAGUGAAUACCCUUAUCCCACAUGCAAUAUGAAGGUUGCAGUCACGUUCCAGCAGAAUCCUGUACCUUAGGGGAUGCACCUGAGCCAUUUCUAAUCUUUUCUGAUGAAUGCUGCUACAGUUCAAGUUUCAGAAUCAAUUGGGGAAAGAUUUGAAGUAGGGCUUCUCAUGAAGAAGUGGCAGGCCUGUUCUAGACAGGCAUGCAGUAAAUCAGAGUUUUCACAUUUCAUUGCCUGGAACUGACUCAAACUGUCAGAAUGUGGCUAGGUUUAAAUCAUGCAGUUAAGGAGAAAGGUGGGCAGCCUGAGUUUCAAUGUCUGAUACUGGUAAUUUAUGCAAAGAUCUGGUUCUUUGUAAAAAUAAUCAUCAGAGAAAAGUCACUAUUAAGAAGCAAAUGAUAGCAAGUACACGUGUUUUAAUAUUAAAAUAGAGUCAAAUAGCUACUAACUUGUAUAAAGUUAACAAUGAGUUUCAUUUAAUUUAUAAUUUGGUUUUUAUAAGAUGCUUGAUAUAUAGUUACCAAGGAUUAAAUGUAGAUUAAACAAUAGUAAAUACCCUUUAUAAAUACAAAAACCCACCUGAAUGUCCAUUGUUCCUGAUGUUUACUUACUAAAUAGUACAUUAACUAUUUUCAUCCAAGCAAUAUUUAGUGUGCUAAUGACAGCAGGAUCUACACUUAAGUCCUUUUUCUGGAAGAAGACUUCCAGGUCAAGUAAACACACAUUCUUCUCCUUCUCCUACAUAGUGCUGACAUUUUUCAACAAUAGCGUCACAUUUAGAGCAAUGAUGAGCCUUAACACUCAUCUACUUCAAGGUCUUUGUUUUCAAGAUGAUCUAGCUGAGGCUAAAUUAUGUGUAAUGGUCUACUGGGUAGACAGCAUGCUAAAUUUUUAAGCAACUUAAAAAUUAAAUCCAUAGACUUAUAAAGCACAAAUUCAACUCUAUUAAUUUCUCAGUGCCUCAGUUUCUUUCUGUAUACAUAUAAAGACAAGAUUUUGAAAUCUGAUUAUAUUUUUUUUAUCCUGCUGGGAGGGCCUAUCCCUUUAUUCUAGUACCAAGAUAGUUUAUUCAAAAUUAAGUCUUGAAAUCUCUCUUUAUUCUAGACUCUUAUCAGGGUAGAACCCAGGAUCAAAAGAAUUCCUAUCAUUUUACUCCAGGUCUAAAUAUCAAACUAGAAAGAUGUGAAAGUAGCUGUAAUUGUUAUCUUUUCCACUCUUAUCUUUCUUUUCUGAGGAAGACCAUUGAAGCUGAGGAGUGAAAGAACUGGAAAGCUGGUGGGUGAUUCAACUUCAUAAUAUCUCUACCCUCUUACUGCAUCCUGUCUUUAGGAAGAGCAAUAAAUGUAAACAAAGUGAUUUUUUAGAUAUGUUUAAAGGGUCAGAUAUUUGAGGACUGUUCCCUCUGACCUGAAGGAGCAAAUGAAUUUGCUCUGAUCCCUGUAGCUGUAUUGGUGGUAGCACUGAGGUGGAGAUGAGUGUAAUGUCAUGUGAACACUCAUAAAGAAACUCAGGUCUCUUAGCAGGACUGGAAGGAACUAGAUGAGCAUAGAAUUCCAAUCCACUUGAGAAAAGGUUGAGGGGCAGAAUGGGGACUUUGUAUGUCAGUAAAAUAAAAGGAAUCAGAGAUGAUGAAUAAGACACCCUGCUUAUGUGAUGAUCUAGGCCAGACAGAAUAUAUAGGACACCUCCAGAAACAUAACAGGGAUGCGGAUAUUAAAAAUAAUUAAAACUCUACUGUUGCUAUACUUUUGAGAAGUUCAGUGGUGACAGAAUUAGCUAUACAGUCAUUGUUGUUACAUAGUGGUAUCUCUUAAUCAUUCUCUCACAUUUCAGAUUAACAAUAAAUCAUCUGAUUUGCAAUAUGUAGAACAAAUUUAAAACGUUGGAAAGUUGCUAAGUCUGGUUACUCUUACCAGACCUUUGCUAGCUUGUGGUUAUUUUCAUCGGAUUUAUUGGAAGCUUUAAUUCACAAAUUAAGCUGGUAAAUGUUAGGCUCAAACAUCGAUUCCCCCAGAAUGGCAGCUCUCAUUACAAUGUGCUCAACAGAAGGAUUUUGUAAACAGUAAUGUAUACAGAAAGAUUAUUAUUGGGUAAACAGAGGCCUAAGGUUUAGUUUCUGUUUAUCAAGAACCUCCUUUAAUCCACUUGAAAUCUCCCUUAAUCUGCCCCAAAAGUCAACAACCUAAGGUAAGGGCAUCUAGUUCCCAUUCAAUCCUAACACCCUGUAUCAACUCAAAGACCUCCACUGUAUUGACUAUACCAAAAAUAAAUAAAUAAAUAAAUAAAUAAAUAAAGCCUUGCUUUUCUUCCAUUUUGCGCUUCUCUCUGCUCCCCUCCCAUCCAUAUUUUGAUCUCCA